GGAGGGAUAGCCCAGUGGUAGAGUGUGUGUCUAUCAUGCAUGAGGUCCUGGGUUCAAUCCCCAGUCCCUCCA
rfam:Camelus ferus unplaced genomic scaffold scaffold331, whole genome shotgun sequence.